CAGGUGAAGAAGUAUUGGGAGUGUACCAUACCAGGCGAAGAAGUAGUGGGAGUGUACCGUACCAGGUGAAGAAGUAGUGGGAGUGUACCGUACCAGGUGAAGAAGUAGUGGGAGUGUAAUGUACCAGGUGAAGAAGUAGUGGGAGUGUACUGUACCAGGUGAAGAAGUCGUGGGGGUGUAAUGUACCAGGUGAAGAAGUAGUGGGAGUGUACUGUACCAGGUGAAGAUGAAGUGGGAGUGUACUGUACCAGGUGAAGAAGUAGUGGGAGUGUACUGUACCAGGUGAAGAUGAAGUGGGAGUGUACUGUACCAGGUGAAGAAGUAGUGGGAGUGUACUGUACCAGGUGAAGAUGUAGUGGGAGUGUACUGUACCAGGUGAAGAAGUAGUGAGAGUGUACUGUACCAGGUGAAGAAGUAGUGGGAGUGUACUGUACCAGGUGAAGAAGUAGUGGGAGUGUACUGUACCAGGUGAAGAAGUAGUGGGAGUGUACUGUACCAGGUGAAGAAGUAGUGGGAGUGUACUGUACCAGGUGAAGAAGUAGUGGGAGUGUACUGUACCAGGUGAAGAAGUAGUGGGAGUGUACUGUACCAGGUGAAGAAGUAGUGGGAGUGUACUGUACCAGGUGAAGAUGUAGUGGGAGUGUACUGUACCAGGUGAAGAAGUAGUGGGAGUGUACUGUACCAAGAAUGGAGCCGGCACGUUGAUGAGCAGGCCGUUCUC